rnacentral:sRNA from 1 species
GCCAGGCAUGGUGGCUCACGCCUGUAAUCCUGGCACUCUGGGAGGCUGAGGCGGGUGGAUCACUUGAGGCCAGGAGUUUUGAGACCAGCCUGGCCAACAUGGUGAAACCCUGUCUCUA